rnacentral:lncRNA from 1 species
UAAAAAGAGAGAAUUUUCAUAGUAAUCUAAAAACGUCACACUUCAGACUAAAUUGAUAGUGAUUGUCAGUCCCUUUUUAUUGUUUAGAGCAUCUCCAACCCAAUCUCAAAUCCUCAAAUUUGAGGUUUUAAUAUUCAAAACCUCAAAACUAAUAUUUAUUUUUUAGUCUUUACAAUUAUUUUAUUUUACAAAUACAUCUAUUAAUUUUAUUUAGAGUAACUUAAGUACACCAAAACAAA